GCGUGGGCCCAGCCUCGCAGGAGGAGGGAGCAGUGCUGCUGCAAGGGGCUGAUCCAGAGGGCGCUGGGUCGGUGCCGGCCGCGGCUCGUGUGGCUCGCGGAAACAAUGCUCAUUUAAAUAAUGAACAAUUCAUCUAUGGAGCUUUUGAAGAAUGUAAAUAUAUUCAAAUGACAUAAAAAACAUCUGAAGUGGAGACUCUGAGGGUUAUUCAGAGCUCAUUCGCCCUCUCUGCCCCAUGAAGGGAUCCACAGAAUAUUCUGAACUGGAAGGCACCACAAGGAUCAUCAAAGCCCAACUCCUGGCCCUGCACAGCACAGCCCCAAGAAUCACAAAUUCUAGAAGCCAUGUUGGAAACAAAGUUAUUAAACCUCUGCUUUGGA